AUAGAUCUUAAUAAAUGUAGUAAUUAAUUAAGUUAAGAUUCAAUUUUUAAUUAUUAUGAAAUUUAUUUAAUUGGGGUGAUUAGGAGAUAAGUAAAACUCUUUUUAAGUUUUAAUAAUAUAAUUAGUUAUAUGAUCCAUAGUUAAUGAUUAUAAGAUUAAAUUACCUUAGGGAUAACAGCAUAAUUCUUUUUGAGAGUUCAUAUUGAAGAAAGAGAUUGUGACCUCGAUGUUGGAUUAAGAUUAGUUUUGGGUGCAGAUUUUCAAUAACUAGGUCUGUUCGACCUUAAAAAUCUUACA
rnacentral:rRNA from 1 species